CUUCGCAGCGCACAGGCGGGGAGCUUGCUCCCAAACGCGCGCACGGGGAGCCCGCUCCCAUGGAUGCUGCGAGGAAAGUCCCCGUGCCUUGGUGCAGAGAGUGCGAGUGGGAGACCGCAGGGCUUGAGCCAAACCUCCAGUGGUGAUGCUCCUUGCAGAUCCGUGUUGGCAGGCUCGGGCCUUCCGCAGCAGCACAGACAUGGCGUCAGCGCUCGAGAUUGAAGCGCCAUCAGAACGGGGCUCACUCUCC
rnacentral:RNase_MRP_RNA from 14 species